CAAUAGCGUAUAUUAAAGUUGUUGCAGUUAAAGAGCUCGUAGUUGGAUUUCGGGGCAGCCUGGCUGGUCCGCCGCAAGGCGAGUACUGGUCAGCCGCCCUUCCUCUCGAAAGCCCCGACUGCUCUUUAUUGCAGUGGUCGGGUAGUUCGGGACGUUUACUUUGAAAAAAUUAGAGUGUUCAAGGCAGGCCUACGCCUGAAUACAUUAGCAUGGAAUAAUGGAAGAGGACCUCGGUCCUAUUUUGUUGGUUUCCAGGACCGAAGUAAUGAUUAAGAGGGACAGUUGGGGGCAUUCGUAUUUAAUUGUCAGAGGUGAAAUUCUCGGAUUUAUGAAAGACGAACAACUGCGAAAGCAUUUGCCAAGGAUGUUUUCAUUAA
rnacentral:rRNA from 1 species